UACGUAGGGGGCUAGCGUUGUCCGGAUUUAUUGGGCGUAAAGAGCGUGUAGGCGGCCAGGUAGGUCUGCUGUGAAAACUCGAGGCUCAACCUCGAGACGCCGAUGGAAACCCUCAGACUAGAGUCCGGAAGAGGAGAGUGGAAUUCCUGGUGUAGCGGUGAAAUGCGCAGAUAUCAGGAAGAACACCCGUGGCUAAGGCGGCUCUCUAGUACGGUACUGACGCUGAGACGCGAAAGCGUGGGGAGCGAACAGG
rnacentral:rRNA from 1 species